UAGUUCAAUCAGUAUAUGAGAUUCCUAGG
rnacentral:piRNA from 1 species